rnacentral:rRNA from 1 species
GAUGAACGCUGGCGGCGUGCCUAAUACAUGCAAGUCGAGCGAACGGACGAGAAGCUUGCUUCUCUGAUGUUAGCGGCGGACGGGUGAGUAACACGUGGAUAACCUACCUAUAAGACUGGGAUAACUUCGGGAAACCGGAGCUAAUACCGGAUAAUAUUUUGAACCGCAUGGUUCAAAAGUGAAAGACGGUCUUGCUGUCACUUAUAGAUGGAUCCGCGGUGCAUUAGCUAGUUGGUAAGGUAACGGCUUACCAAGGCAACGAUGCAUAGCCGACCUGAGAGGGUGAUCGGCCACACUGGAACUGAGACACGGUCCAGACUCCUACGGGAGGCAGCAGUAGGGAAUCUUCCGCAAUGGGCGAAAGCCUGACGGAGCAACGCCGCGUGAGUGAUGAAGGUCUUCGGAUCGUAAAGCUCUGUUAUUAGGGAAGAACAUAUGUGUAAGUAACUGUGCACAUCUUGACGGUACCUAAUCAGAAAGCCACGGCUAACUACGUG